CAAAUCAUGGAUCAUUGUCAAAAAAAAAGUUGGAAAAUCCCUGUUUUAAUUUUCUCUCCUUGUAUUUGGUUCUGGAGGGAUUAGGCAGCUGCAGCCCUGGAGAUUAGAAACAAGGCCUCUGGAGCCAGUUGCUAUUCAAACUUGGGUGAGUUAUUUUGGCUUUCUGUGGUUUAGCCUCUUACCAUAAAACUGGGCUAACAAUAGUGCUUACCUCAUCAGAUUGUUAUGACAAUGAAAAGGAUUCAAUAAGUUGGUCCAUGCAAAGCCCUUCUGAUAGUACCUAAGAAACAGUGCAUACUUGAUAAAUGCUGAUUAUAGUUAUAAAGUGGUUAUUUCUUCCCCUGGGCCAAAGAUAACAUUGUAACUUUAAGGACAUAGCAAACUCUGCCAAAUUUUACACAGAGAUGCCAGGGUUGUUCAGUUGUAGACAAUACCUUCUGUGGGCAAAUAGGUACUGCACAAAUCUUUGUGGAGCAACUGUUGUGUGUUAUCACUCCACUGUGCAUUAAGGAUACAAAGUGGAAUAAGAUAAUGCCCAGGACUUUGAGGAACAUACAGUCUCUGAGAGAAAUUCCAAUGUACUGGACUUGAUCUCCAUCAGCUCCAUGUGGUACCGGGUAUAUUAUAGGUCUCCAGUGUUGAAUGCAUUUCUGUGAUGGGAAUCAUGAACUGUCUACCUUACUCAAAUGCAGUAAAUAAGGGAAGGAGCAUCACAUGUUCCUUCAUUUUUUUCCAGUACCUUCAAGGUGCAGAGGAAAGAACAGCAACACGGGAGAAUUUCCUGCAGAUGCCAGAAGUCUCCAAAAAUCUACACUUGGGGAAAGAUGAGUUUGCUUCUUGUAGACCUCCUCUCUUGUCUAUUUCAUUGUGUUUAUUGAAAAAUGUUGUUGGGAAAGGAAGGAGAAAGGAAACAGAUGGCGCCAAAUGACGGAGAAGGACUUUACAGAUUUCAUCUCUCUCUGCUGCUCAGAGCCAGCAGGAAAGUCAGAGCUGGGGAUGUGGUGUGGCCUCCUGAAUCAUCCAGGCAGUCUCCGCCCUCCAUUCUGACACUCCCAGCCCUUCAACUAUGUAAACAGGGCCCUGAUGUCAAAACCCCAGGAAGGUCAGCCUGGGUGAGGCUGACCUGCCCUCCUUCCCACUCCUUCUGCCCUUUAGAGCAGGGUGAAUGAAGACUUCCGUGCCAGUUACACAUGCAAUUAACACAUUCUUUUUAGCCAAGAAGGGGGUAGAAAUUAGAAAAAAAAAAGAGAGAGAGAGAUUGAUUUGAAGAACCUAAACCUCCCCACCUGUUUGCUUGACUAUAGAGCCACACAUAGGUGGGAACCAAAUCAGAAUGUGUAUGUGUCUUUUCUAAAAGGGCCAACAGUAAAUAUUAAAACAGCAACAGUAAGUUUACACUUGAGUUGUUGUGCAACUUACAAGUUUACAAUACACAAAGCACAGCCUCUGACAUCAUCUCGAAAGACUUGGCAGUGCCUCACAGAGCUAAAAUGGAAAUGUUGAGAUACUGACGUGAGGACCUGUUUUCUUUCAGUGAAGCUUUUUAUUCUGAAAAGAAAUUCCUCCUCUUCCCUAUCUUGACACCUUCCUCCAUGUUUUCCUUAUAUCUACACGCUUUGUAGAUCUUAGAGAGCUUUUCAUCCUUUUCUGCCAAAGCUACCACCUUUGGUAUCUAUAUUCUUUGACCCAUUUGGGGAUAGAGGUAGAUGCAGUAAGGAGCUGGUGCAUUUUGCAAGCCUCACAUUGCUCUGAAUAUAUUUCCGUCACGGUCAACUUGAGGGCUGUGUCACCUGGGCAGUCAUGCAGGGCCUGAUGCUUAGAAGGUCCCAAUGCUGCAUUUCUGUGCUCUGCUGCCACCAUUUUGAAAUUCGUCAUAUGUUGACACUGGGUCCCAUGACUUAUGUAGCUGCCUCUAACUGAGCCAAUUAGCUUUCUGAGAAAACACACCCAGAUGGUUGGCCUGAGAAUAUGGCUUGAUUACUCCCAGUUUCCACAUAUGAGUGGCAUGUCUGCCACAGGUGAACAGGGAAAUAACAUUGGCGUGGCACCUUACAGUUUCCAAUAGAUUUUCACAUGGCAUUAUCUCCUUUAAUCCUCACAAGCACGUGUUAGGAGGCGAGCCUAUUUAAGGCCAACAGAAAUCCACCUAUGAGGGAUGAAAUUGAUUUGACAGGCAAAUAGCAAACAGCUCUUUAAGAGUGAAAAUCCACAGAAAAACAGGACAGAGAAAUUAUCCAGAUGUUAUACAGCUGCGCUGCAAAGUAAGUGACAAAGGCAGCAAAGGCCUCAGCAUGGAGUUUGGCCAAAGGGAUCAUGGGGAAUAAAAAUUCCAAUCCCAGGCCAAGACGGGGGAGAGAGAGAGGCAUUGUUCUGGAAUAGUAGUGGAGCAUCCAUCACAAAGAUCCCUCUCUAUUUUUUAGAGCCCAGGGACAAAGAAUCCCAAUGUUCGGCUGGAAAUGCCUUUGUUAUGGAGUCUACUUUUGCCCAGUCCCUUCUUGAUUAGCAAUUUGAUUAAGUGUCUCUGUUCCUUUGUUGCAGGAACAGGUCAAUGCUGAAAAUACUGCCAAAGCCACCUUUAUAAGGCUGCCAGCCUGAGACUGGGACUCCAGAAUCUAGGCCAAAUACCACCUUUGGAAAAUCUCACAGCACCCAGACUGUGAUUUCUCCCUGCUAGAUAUUGAACUUUCUGAACCAUUGCCUCUGCCUGUCCUGUCUGUGCAGCUCCCUUUCAAUCUGAACUCUAAAGUCCAGACCUCUGCUGCUUGGCUGAGUGGAGAAGCAGGACACCUACAUCAGGGUCCUCCUCUCAAUUGUUUGGGGCCAAAGGAGGCAAAGGAAGCCUUCCUAAGCUUUCACCCCCAUAGUUCAUGCAUUCCGGAUCUCUCAACUCUGUUCUCAGGCCACUUUUCAAUCCUGUAUCCUGAGGUUUUUCUAUCUGGAAGCAAAGUGAAAAUGACCUAGGGAGCAGGUUGCUAUGGUCUAUCCUUUUCCAGUGUUCUCAGCACCCUGCCAAGAUCACCUGUGUCUUCAGAGCGAAAUCUUAACAUCUGUGUUUUUCAGGACUUAGGGAGAAAGGAGGGUUUUAUUGUAGAAUUAUGUUGUCUCUUGGACAAUCAAGCUAUAAAUAGGAUUGCUAGUAAGAAAUUAUUCUACUGGGAUGGAGCUAUAGUUGCUUUUUGGAGAGUGGAAAGUUGUGAGGAGAUAAAUAGGUUUCCUUAGAGGUCAAGCACUUGGUCAGUGUGUUUCUGGAAAAUAGGGCCCCUUGACCAAAACUUAGCCCUUCAGUGAAGCAUGAGUUUUAUUUUCUCUUGGUUUUGGACGAAAUCACUGUUCAGGUUUCUGAAAAAACAAUGUUCUGUUUUUCUUUGUCUGCAGAGAAAUCGAGCAAGAAAAGCCAGUUAAUGAUCUGGUUACUUAAAACCAUUCAUUGGAGCAAGCCAGUUGUUUUGCAGAGAAGCCCUGUUAACAAGCCUGAGUGGGUGUGUCUUUGCUUCCAGAUUAAGUGUAAAAAGCAAGCGAAAUCUAUUUAUCUCUGCAUCAUAUAAUUUUGCUUCACAAAUCCUUUCAAAAUACAGGUUUUGGGAAUUGAGGGUUAAUAGAUGCAAACUAUUGCCUUUGGAAUGGAUAAGCAAGGAGAACCUGCUGUAUAGCAUUGGGAAUUAUAUCUAGUUACUUAUGAUAGAGCAUGAUAAUGUGAGAAAAAAGAAUGUAUAACAUGUAUGUGUGACUGGGUCACUUUGCUGUACAGUAGAAAAUUGACAGCAGUGUAAGCCAGCUAUGAUGGAAAAAAUAAAAAU
rnacentral:lncRNA from 1 species